UCUCCCGCUUCGCUGAGCUGAACCCACAUCCGUUCAUCGAUUUAGAUUAAGCUUUUAGUUUCAAAUUCAUUUGCUUCGCGAGCAGUCUAAGCUUUUAAAAUGGGCAGAAUAAAAAUUAAAGCAGUUGCCUUCUUAAUAGUUCUUUAAAUUUUCAUGGUGGUCUCAGCUGCAUUCGAAGAGACGUGUGGCUCCGACCGACAAAUGAAAGAAAUGUCCCGCGUUCAUAACUAUAAAACUGUGAAACCUUUGCUCGAAUAUUUUAGGCAAGUUCAAAAUGAGUAAAAAGACAAA